GUUUAGCAGCUUCUGCAAUCAGGGGAGGAGGAAGACGUAUCAUCAGUGGCCAAUGUGCUUUGUGAUUCUAUGUGGUCUUGGAUGCGGAUGGAUAGACUUCAUUCGAAGUAAGUUAUCUGCUUAUAAACUUCAUUCUGAGUAAGUUAUCGACUUUUCAAACAUCUUCUAUCAUAUUACUUCAAUCCACGUCAAACAUGUGCAUAACUCGAAGAGGAAACGAUCUCUAUAUCUAUCGUGUAGUUCUGUGUAAUACUCCGCUUUUGUUUCCAUUUUCUAUUGCUCUGUGUCCGUGAGACUGGAAGUGAUUCUAGGCUUGCAUAAUGAAUUCCAUCUCAAAAAAAUGAUGUGCUAUUCCCAUUUGUUUUGUGGAGCAGAUAAAUCACACCUUAAUAACCUCCAGUUAAGAGACUUUUUGGCGGCUAAAUGCAUUAUUUGUCAAUUUCUCUGCUCCGUGCUUCAUGUUUCCCUUUGUUGGUGGGGAGAGGGGUUUAAAGAGGACCAGAUCUGUCAGAUUUUCCAUAUCAAAUUCCUUGAUUAUUGAAUUUCCGAAUUUUAUGGAGGUUUCUUUUUUGGCAGCUCCUAGCUAUUAAGCAAUUGGAUAGGAAUGGGCUUCAGGUAACAGAGAAUUUUUGGUAGUCUAUAUAUACUAACUGCUGAAUAUCAGCUUUACAUCAACUCUAUAUAUCUGUGGCAAAUCCAAGUAAUUUAUUCUUCCUGCUUCUGCUCUCAAUUGCGAGCAUGAACAUGCAUCAGUCGAUUAUGUUUGCAUUUUUUCUGUUGCUCUUGUUUUGUUUUUCAAAUAAAUUGCCAUUCCCUUUUUUCUGAUCAUCAUUCCAUUCAUUUUUGUUGUAAUCUCAUAAUGUAUUUGUAAUACACAAUUAACUCUUUAUACAUGCAUAUGUAUAUAUCUCUAUAUGUAAUAUCUAUAUUGAUUUUCCAGCUCAAUCAAUGCCUAGUAAUUGCACUGAGUUUCAGUUUAGCAAUUUUUCCUCCAGUUAUGGAAAUGGAAUUGAGAGCUUGCAUUUGGGUUUGACAAUCAACCAAACAACACUUAAGUUGUGAGAAAAAUAGGUAAUAUCUUUCAUUUUAGCAUUUGAAUGCAUAAAUAAAUGUAGGAUUUUUUUAUAUAUGAGAUAAAGUCAAUGAUUAAGUACAUUUG
rnacentral:lncRNA from 1 species